rnacentral:rRNA from 1 species
GACGAACGCUGGCGGCGUGCUUAACACAUGCCAGUCGAACGAAGAGCGAUGGAAGCUUGCUUCUAUCAAUCUUAGUGGCGAACGGGUGAGUAACGCGUAAUCAACCUGCCCUUCAGAGGGGGACAACAGUUGGAAACGACUGCUAAUACCGCAUACGAUCUAACCUCGGCAUCGAGGAUAGAUGAAAGGUGGCCUCUACAUGUAAGCUAUCACUGAAGGAGGGGAUUGCGUCUGAUUAGCUAGUUGGAGGGGUAACGGCCCACCAAGGCGAUGAUCAGUAGCCGGUCUGAGAGGAUGAACGGCCACAUUGGGACUGAGACACGGCCCAGACUCCUACGGGAGGCAGCAGUGGGGAAUCUUCCGCAAUGGACGAAAGUCUGACGGAGCAACGCCGCGUGAGUGAUGACGGCCUUCGGGUUGUAAAGCUCUGUUAAUCGGGACGAAAGGCCUUCUUGCGAAUAGUGAGAAGGAUUGACGGUACCGGAAUAGAAAGCCACGGCUAACUACGUG